rnacentral:rRNA from 1 species
UGCAGUCUAGCAGUUAGAUAGAGCUUGCUUCUCUUGAGAGCGGCGGACGGGUGAGUAAUGCCUAGGAAUCUGCCUGGUAGUGGGGGAUAACGUUCGGAAACGGACGCUAAUACCGCAUACGUCCUACGGGAGAAAGCAGGGGACCUUCGGGCCUUGCGCUAUCAGAUGAGCCUAGGUCGGAUUAGCUAGUUGGUGAGGUAAUGGCUCACCAAGGCGACGAUCCGUAACUGGUCUGAGAGGAUGAUCAGUCACACUGGAACUGAGACACGGUCCAGACUCCUACGGGAGGCAGCAGUGGGGAAUAUUGGACAAUGGGCGAAAGCCUGAUCCAGCCAUGCCGCGUGUGUGAAGAAGGUCUUCGGAUUGUAAAGCACUUUAAGUUGGGAGGAAGGGUUGUAGAUUAAUACUCUGCAAUUUUGACGUUACCGACAGAAUAAGCACCGGCUAACUCUGUGCCAGCAGCCGCGGUAAUACAGAGGGUGCAAGCGUUAAUCGGAAUUACUGGGCGUAAAGCGCGCGUAGGUGGUUUGUUAAGUUGGAUGUGAAAUCCCCGGGCUCAACCUGGGAACUGCAUUCAAAACUGACUGACUAGAGUAUGGUAGAGGGUGGGUGGAAUUUCCUGUGUAGCGG